GCUGUGCUGCAAUGGUGGUGAAGGGAUUGAAGAAGAAGGCUGUGGUGAAGGGGAAGAAGCAGACACUCAAGUUCACGAUUGAUUGCACCCAGCCAGUCGACGACACCAUCUUGACCACUGCGGAUUUGGAGAAGUUCCUCAAGGAAAGAACCAAGGUGGAUGGAAAGACUGGCAACCUUGGAGACAAGGUGCAGUUCUCCCGUGAGGGAAAGAAG
rnacentral:snRNA from 2 species